GGUGUGCGAUAGACUUACCUCCACGUGGUGCACUCUGGACAACGUAUAUUUAUACGGCAAAAAAGUCUAU
rnacentral:ribozyme from 1 species